ACGUAGGUGGCGAGCGUUAUCCGGAUUUAUUGGGUUUAAAGGGUGCGUAGGCGGCUUUUUAAGUUGGUGGUUAAAGGUAGCAGCUCAACUGUUUUACAUGCCAUCAAAACUGAAGAGCUUGAGUUAUCAGGAGGCAGGCGGAAUUUCUGGUGUAGCGGUGAAAUGCAUAGAUACCAGAAGGAACACCUAUUGCGAAGGCAGCUUGCUGUAGAUACACUGACGCUGAUGCACGAAAGCGUGGGGAGCGAACAGG
rnacentral:rRNA from 1 species